CUUUGCAUAUUCAAAUAUGCGGAGGAAUAGAAACCAACAGGGAUUGCCCCAGUAACGGCGAGUGAAGCGGCAACAGCUCAAAUUUGAAAUCUGGCUUCCUGGAGGCCCGAGUUGUAAUUUGCAGAGGAUGCUUCGGCGUUGGCCUCGGUCUAAGUCCCUUGGAACAGGGCGUCACAGAGCGUGAGAAUCCCGUACGUGGCUGGUGGACCUCGCCGUGUGAAGCUCCUUCGACGAGUCGAGUUGUUUGGGAAUGCAGCUCUAAAUGGGAGGUAAAUUUCUUCUAAAGCUAAAUACCGGCCAGAGACCGAUAGCGCACAAGUAGAGUGAUCGAAAGAUGAAAAGCACUUUGGAAAGAGAGUCAAAAAGUACGUGAAAUUGUUGAAAGGGAAGCGCUCGCAACCAGACCCGCCCGCGGUCGCUCAUCCAGGCCCUGCCUGGUGCACUCUUCCGCGGUCGGGCCAGCAUCGGUUUGGGCGGUCGGACAAAGGCGGCGGGAAUGUGGCUCCCCUUGGGGAGUGUUAUAGCCCGCCGCGCAAUGCGGCCAGCCCGGACCGAGGUCCGCGCUCCGGCUAGGAUGCUGGCGUAAUGGUUGUGAGCGGCCCGUCUUGAAACACGGACCAAGGAGUGUAACAUCUAUGUGAGUGUGUGGGUGUCAAGCCCGGGCGCGCAAUGAAAGUGAACGGAGGCGGGAACUUGUUAUCAAGUGCACCGUCGACCGAUCCUGAUGUCUUCGGAUGGAUUUGAGUAAGAGCAUAGCUGUUGCGACCCGAAAGAUGGUGAUCUAUGCCUGAAUAGGGUGAAGCCAGAGGAAACUCUGGUGGAGGCUCGCAGCGGUUCUGACGUGCAAAUCGAUCGUCAAAUUUGGGCAUAGGGGCGAAAGACUAAUCGAACAUCAGGU
rnacentral:rRNA from 1 species